rnacentral:misc_RNA from 1 species
AACGCACCUUGCGCUCCUUGGUAUUCCGAGGAGCAUGCCUGUUUGAGUGUCAUUAAAUUCUCAAAAUCCUCUCUCACUUGUUGUGGGGGGGGGGCUUUUGGAUGUUGGGAGUUGCAGGUUUUGUAAAGCCAGCUCUCCUCAAAAGAAUUAGCAAGGGGAUAAUAUGGUGUUUCCUUCAUUGGUGUGAUAAAAAUGAUUUACACCAUAUACAAACGCCUCUUAUGAUCUCUGCUUUCUAAUACUUUGCUGUCAAAAACAGUAACUAAUAAUGAUCAACUUGACCUCAAAUCAGGUAGGACAACCCGCUGAACUUAA